rnacentral:lncRNA from 1 species
GCAGAGGUGUGGAGGAGUUGGAGAUGUUGGCUUUGUGAUUUCGGCAGGAUUUGGACCAUCAGCGGACAUGCCUGGAGGAUGACAGUAGCUGUCUGCGAGCUGAGAUCCAGGAGCUGAAAACUGACUUUAGACCCCUCACAUAAGUGAUCCAUCGUGCUCAACACAUGCUGGGCCUGGAUGUGAGUCACAUGCCUAUAUUCCCUUGCCUCGUUCUCUCGCUCACUCACUCGCUCGCUCACACGCUCUCCAUUUUCUCCCUCACCCCAAAGUCAUGGGACGGUCCCUCAUUCAUUUUUCAAAACUCAUUUUCCGCCCUUGAGCUCAGGAUUUUUAAUUCUGGCUUCACCUUGACUGGUGGCCUUUGGGCAUGAGGGAUCAACGGAGCCGGGCUUUGAUCCAGCACGCCGGCAUGGGACUCAUUUCCAGCUCUGCCACACUGAUGCGACUCAGUGGGUUCGACUUGACCUCGUGGCUCCUCUGGGCCCCUCUGGCCGCAGUCGACGAGACCCAGCUCCCUCCUCAUCUCCAUCCUGAACACCUCCAAUAACUCGUUCUAAUCAAACCGCUCUGCUCUCCGCAGCCCUGCCUUUGAUCUGCAUAAUAUGCCUCCUCCACCUCUUCAUCUCCCUUCUCCGUUUAUCACAUCAUGUGUGAAUGCAGAACAUCAGUGAAAUGUUGUAGAAGGUUUGCCAAAGUCUCCUGUGUACAAUGUGUCCAUGCCAAGAUCCUGCUGCUGUACCUUUAGCCGUGACAAGUCGACCUGUGCGCCAGCUGUGCCCAUGGGGCAUCAUCGGUCGUAACAAGAGUCGGUGUGCCUGCUUCAGUGCAACCCCAUUGUGGUGUUGGAGGAUAAUAACACUCUGCUUCCUUUUGUCAGUGAGUUUUGCUGGAUGAUAAACACAGGGGAGGAAGGACCGGCAGAGGAGCUCAAGCUCAAAGAGUCCAAAGCCAGAGGACCUCUGAAGGCUCAGGUGGAAGAUCUGAGGAAACAGCUCAAGGCCAAGAGCAGGAUUAUUCAAAGUCUGAAAGAGGAAAUUAAGACUCCUUUGUUCCACAGUGCACAAAAGAAGAAUGAGGUGGUGCAAGUAAGAAAGAAGAGAAAGUCAAGAAUCUGACCACUGCAAGAGGGUCUGCAAGAAAAGGCACACACACUUUGGUAAAAGAGCCCCACUGCUGUUGAUACUUCAGAC